GACGAACGCUGGCGGCGUGCUUAACACAUGCAAGUCGAACGGAAAGGCCCUGCUUGCAGGGUACUCGAGUGGCGAACGGGUGAGUAACACGUGGGUGAUCUGCCCUGCACUUCGGGAUAAGCCUGGGAAACUGGGUCUAAUACCGGAUAGGAGCCAUUUUUAGUGUGAUGGUUGGAAAGUUUUUUCGGUGUAGGAUGAGCUCGCGGCCUAUCAGCUUGUUGGUGGGGUAAUGGCCUACCAAGGCGGCGACGGGUAGCCGGCCUGAGAGGGUGGACGGCCACAUUGGGACUGAGAUACGGCCCAGACUCCUACGGGAGGCAGCAGUGGGGAAUAUUGCACAAUGGGCGCAAGCCUGAUGCAGCGACGCCGCGUGGGGGAUGACGGCCUUCGGGUUGUAAACUCCUUUCGCUAGGGAAGAAGCUUUUUGUGACGGUACCUAGAGAAGAAGCACCGGCUAACUACGUG
rnacentral:rRNA from 1 species